UAAACGAGAAGCUUGGGACAAAUCCCAGUGGGAAAGUUUGUUUUUAACAAACUACUAAGCUUUCUGACC
rnacentral:ncRNA from 1 species